rnacentral:rRNA from 1 species
CGGAGAAAAGGUUUACCGCCUUUGGAGCAGCGUUAUCCUAUCAGGUAGUUGGUGAGGUAAAGGCUCACCAAGCCGAAGACGGGUAGGGGGUGUGAGAGNAUGACCNGCAUCGGGACUGAGACACUGCCGGGACUCCUACGGGAGGCUGCAGUAACGAAUCUUCCGCAAUGGGCGAAAGCCUGACGGAGCAAUGCCGCGUGUGGGAUCAAGGG